GUCCAAUUGGGACAUUUGGAACACUCUUUUUGAGAUAGAGAAGUUUAGCAUGGACCUGCGCAAGGAUGACACGCUUAAAUCGAGAAAUUGGUCCAAAUUUUU